GCACUAGUUCAAUUGGUAGAGCUUCGGUCUUGUAAUCUAAGGUCGCGGGUUUGAUAUCCGUCCAGAUCAACU